rnacentral:rRNA from 1 species
AAGGGCACCACAAGAACGCGUGGAGCAUGUGGCUUAAUUUGACCCAACGCGGGAAAUCUUACCAGGUCCGGACAUAUUGAGGAUUGACAGGCGAUAGGAUAUAUUAUUAUUAUAUAUAUUCAUAAAAAUGAUAGUCCUUUCAUGAUUAUAUGAUAGGUGGUGCAUGGCCGUUCUUAGUUCGUGGAGUGAUCUGUCUGCUUAAUUGCGUUUCAGAUAUAAUAAUAAUAUUUAAUAUAUAUUUUUAUUAAUAUUAUUAUGUAUAUAUAUUGUUCUGCCUUUUUUAAGGAUUUAAAGUGAACAUAUAUAUAUUAUUAUAUAUUAUAUUAUAUAUAUUAUUAUAUAUUAAAAUGAAUGCAACGAACGUGACCG